UACGAAGGGGGCUAGCGUUGCUCGGAAUCACUGGGCGUAAAGGGUGCGUAGGCGGGUCUUUAAGUCAGGGGUGAAAUCCUGGAGCUCAACUCCAGAACUGCCUUUGAUACUGAGGAUCUUGAGUUCGGGAGAGGUGAGUGGAACUGCGAGUGUAGAGGUGAAAUUCGUAGAUAUUCGCAAGAACACCGGUGGCGAAGGCGGCUCUCUGGACCGAUACUGACGCUGAGGCGCGAAAGCGUGGGGAGCAAACAGG
rnacentral:rRNA from 1 species